UUUCCGUAGGUGAACCUGCGGAAGGAUCAUUAAACAUAAGAUGUGUAUGCCUCGCGCGUAUUACUCUUUAAACCCACACCUGAGUACCUUACCUGUUGCUUCCGCGGAGCGGCGCCCUUCUGGGUGCCACCGAUGGGGGGUUCACCCUCAUUGGACAGUCUUCGCGGGAGGUACACAUCAAACCCUUUUGCAUUUCCAUGUCGUCUGUCUGAUACUGUUUAUAACAAAUGUUAAAACUUUCAACAACGGAUCUCUUGGUUCUC
rnacentral:misc_RNA from 1 species